AGGGCACCACCAGGAGUGGAGCCUGCGGCUUAAUUUGACUCAACACGGGAAAUCUCACCAGGCCCGGACACCGGAAGGAUUGACAGAUUGAGAGCUCUUUCUUGAUUCGGUGGGUGGUGGUGCAUGGCCGUUCUUAGUUGGUGGAGCGAUUUGUCUGGUUAAUUCCGAUAACGAACGAGACUCUGGCCUACUAACUAGAUGAUUCCUCAUUUAUUGGGGAGUCACUGCUUCUUAGAGGGACGGGCGGCGUUUAGCCGCACGAGAAUGAGCAAUAACAGGUCUGUGAUGCCCUUAGAUGUUCUGGGCUGCACGCGCGCUACACUGAAGGAAUCAGCGUGUCCUCCCCACCCUGGCAAGGGCGGGUAACCCGUUGGAACUCCUUCGUGAUGGGGAUUGGAGAUUGUAAUUAUUCUCCAUGAACGAGGAAUUCCCAGUAGGCGCGAGUCAUCAGCUUGCGUCGAUUACGUCCCUGCCCUUUGUACACACCGCCCGUCGCUACUACCGAUCGAGUGAUUUAGU
rnacentral:rRNA from 1 species